rnacentral:rRNA from 1 species
UACGGGGGGAGCAAGCGUUGUUCGGAAUUACUGGGCGUAAAGCGAGUGUAGGCGGUCUCCUAAGUCGGAUGUGAAAGCCCCGGGCUCAACCCGGGAAGUGCACUCGAAACUGGGAGGCUAGAGUAUCGGAGAGGUUGGUGGAAUUCUCGGUGUAGAGGUGAAAUUCGUAGAUAUUGGGAAGAACACCGAUGGCGAAGGCAGCCAUCUGGACCGACACUGACGCUGAGGCGCGAAAGCGUGGGGAGCAAACAGG